rnacentral:rRNA from 1 species
CCUACGGGAGGCAGCAGUGGGGAAUAUUGGACAAUGGGCGAAAGCCUGAUCCAGCAAUUCCGCGUGUGUGAAGAAGGCCUUCGGGUUGUAAAGCACUUUAGUGGGGGAAGAAACAGCUUGGCCACACCAAGCCUUGACGGUACCCCAAGAAUAAGCACCGGCUAACUCUGUGCCAGCAGCCGCGGUAAUACAGAGGGUGCAAGCGUUAAUCGGAUUUACUGGGCGUAAAGGGUGCGUAGGUGGCUAUUUAAGUCGGAUGUGAAAGCCCGGGGCUCAACCUCGGAAUUGCAUUCGAUACUGAGUGGCUAGAGUUCGGUAGAGGGCGGCGGAAUUUCCGGUGUAGCGGUGAAAUGCGUAGAUAUCGGAAGGAACAUCAAUGGCGAAGGCAGCCGCCUGGGCCUGGACUGACACUGAGGCACGAAAGCGUGGGUAGCAAACAGGAUUAGAUACCCUGGUAGUCCACGCCGUAAACGAUGAGAACUUGACGUUGGUUCGUUUUACGAAUCGGUGUCGCNGCUACGCGAUAGUUACUCCGUCCGUCGGGAGGUACGGCCGGCGAGGUAGUAACGUACAAUAGAAGUUAGUACGGCGUGAGACGUAGCCGACGGACGACGACGAGGGAGGUUAGG